GAGAUAUGAGGAAAAUGAGAAAACCAAAAAGGACCUCCAGAGUGCAGUUGCUGUUACUUUAACAGCUGAUAUGUGGACGUCUAUGAAUAUGGAGGCAUAUCUAGCCGUUACUGGCCACUAUGUGGACAAAGAAAGCCAUGAACUCCAUUCAUCAGUCUUGGCAGUGCAGCAUUUUCCUCAGAAACGCACCGCAGAAAACAUUGACACGGUUAAAAGGAGCCUCAUGGAGGAGUUGGGCAUAGCAGGAAAGGUCAGGUGUCUUGUCACUGAUGCAACAGCAAACAUGACUGCAUGUGCUCGAAUGCUGCAAAUACGCAUACCAUUUUUUAUAGCCCAUUCCCUGAAUUUAAUUGUGAGAAAAUCAUGUGAUCAAAUCCCAACAAUAACUGUAUUACGCAACAAAACACGACACAUUGUGACAUACUUUCGAUCAAGCGUGACCGCUAAAGAGAAGCUCACUCAAAUACAGCAACAGCUGGGAACACCGGGCCAUAAAUUAAUAAACGAAGUGCCAACACGAUGGAACAGUACCUACCAAAUGUUUGAAAGAAUGACUGAGCAGAAGGAGGCAGUCUGGGUGUCACUGGCCUCAUUAAAACCUGACAUCACUCCACUGACUCCAGAAGAAUGUCAGAUCAUUGAAGAGAUGCUCAGGGUUCUUGCUCCUUUUCACCAAGCUACAAGAGAACUGUCUGAGGAAAAAAGGGUCUCUGGGUCGAAGGUCAUUCCCAUGAUGAGAAUCCUCUACAUUGAGCCUCAACGUCAGGCUACAACAGUGACAAAAACAGCUGCUCAACAACUGGCUGAAAACCUGAGGUACUGACGCUAUUUGCUGCAUGGAAUCUCUCAGUGUGAUGACUCUGGCAACUCUGUUAGAUCCCACAGUUAAAAAGAAUGGAUUUGUUAGCCAGCAAAAGGCAAGUGAAGCAGUGAAGAGACUGCAGUCAGAAUGUGCAGAAGAAAUGAGGAGCCAAGAGUCUGACCCAAGAGAAGAAGAGCCUAGCUCUUCACAUGGGUCAGAAAACCCAGUUCAGGGCACAAUCUCUGGAGAACUUUAGAUAUGGAGGUUGCAGAGACCCAGAAGACGAGGAACGCAACAGCUAACUCCAUUAUUGAAGUCCAACGCUACCUGGCAGAAACAAACACACCCAGAAAACAAGAUCCUUUGCAAUAUUGGAAACUGAACCAGGAAAUAUACCCACAUCUUCAUAAACUUGCACUUAAAACUCUCUGCUCACCAUCAUCGUCUGUACCAUGCGAAAGAGUAUUUUCCAAGGCUGGGGAGCUGGUGUGUAAGAGGAGAAAUCGCCUUGGAGCAAAGACACUCCAAAAACUUUUGUUUCUCAAUAAAAAUUCAUGAACUAAUCA